rnacentral:tRNA from 1 species
GCCUCGUUCGUCUAUUGGCGGAGGACGCCGCACUUUCACUGCGGAAAGACGGGUUCGACUCCCGUACGGGGCA